UAAUACUUCCCAAUACUCUCAAUUUCAUCUUGCCAAACAUAACAUUGGAGUCUAUUGUUGAGGAUUUAUUCAACAUAUUCACGAUCAGGGGACAGAAGAAAACGCGAACAUUAAAAGUCGUAUAGGUUAAAAAAAAUAAACAUAAGACAUCUUAACUUUGGUGGCACCUACAAGAAAUUCAAACCAUGUUCUCUUUUCUAUUGAGGUAAAAGAGAAUUUAUCCAUUUCGUGAAAUCAUUUCUAGGUACGCGAAAGGGUGUACAAAAAGGCAAUUACACUACUAUUUUACAUCACUAAAGAACGUAAAUUUAGGGGACGAUUUAGACUACUUUAAUUGCAAUUAACGUGCUAGAAUUCACUUAAUAAUACAAGAAAAAACCAUAGAGUUAAGCAACGUAAUUCGAAUGAAAAGAAUGUUUACCUUUUUUACUAAUCUAAUAUAUAUAAUUUGCAGAAAAAAGCAAAACACGUUAUAAUUAUUAUGGAAAUGAGCAUUUUGCCAUACCUCUAUUAAGCAAGAAUGAAGAUAAGUAUUCCCUGUUCAAUUAUGAUCAGCCUGCAGAAGCUUUGGAGAACCAGCUGAUACUCCUACUUCAGAUGGAUCCAUUCUUUGCAAAUUCCCAAUACAAAAAUCACAAAAAAGAGAAAAGCAUUCAGUAAAAUUUGUGAAAUAUUGAGUAAUCGUAAUACACAAAGAAUCCCUUCAACUCAAACUCCAAAUUUACAUGAAACUCAUAAAAACAACUAGCUGCUUUAGCACAAACAAAAGCCAACAAGAUGGCAUCAGUUAAUGAUACAUGGUUGAUGGUACAUGUUUUUCACCAAAACUUCCAAGCUAGUAUAAUAAAUUGAUAAUAGCACAUUGCAUUCCUUGGUGUAACUUCAUUUGAAAAUACAAAACAGCAUUUAUAAUACAAGGUCGGAUCUUCAAGCAACAGAAGUAAAAACAUUCAAGUUUAUUGGACCGAGAAAAAUGUAACUCAAGUCAAACAGAAGGGCGAACAUCUUGUAAUAAGUUCAUUGAAAAUAAGGCUCUAAACUGUAACCGCUUGUGCACUCAGACUUGGAAUCUCUCGAAAGUGCAUCGUAUUUUGUGCCUUUCUUUUAUAGUCUUUUACAAUAAACCAACACGGAACUAAAAGAAAAUAGAAAAUAUGCACACACGGAGACAAACACACAAAGAAAAUUCUUUCUUUUUUGUUUUCUUUUUUACUUUCAAAGCUAAUAACAAAAAGUUUUGUUUACUUUAAUCAGAGAAGAACACAAUGUUCUAUCUUCUUCUGCUUAACAAUAACACCUAUGCGAACCUACACUCUUCCAGAAAAACAUUAACCUAAUAAAUCCCAAAAGCAAAAGGUCAAUAGAAAAGAAAUGUUAAAAGUUGUUAAAAAAAGAGUUAUACCCAUCUUCAAGCACAGAAGUUGGAGAGUCUGAUAGGAACUCGUUCUUUUCAUUUUCAGGAACCAUUCUCAAACCCUAAUCAGAAAAAUUCAAAUCCCACAAUAAAGAAAAACAAAAAACAACCCGAACCAGGCAUCUCCAUUGUCAACAUAUACAAGAAACCCCCAAAAAAAAAAAUCAAUGAAUCACAACUUCACAAACCCAACCUCCGAUGUUGAUUGAAAAGAAUUUAG
rnacentral:lncRNA from 1 species